UUUCAACACAACUGACCCGCAUUUUUUUCCCAACAAGAGACCACUGAUCAUGGCAUGGUUCUGAUUCAUCGGAGAAUCAGGAACCUGAGGGUCCUUGCCCAAGACAAGCAGAGCUGCCAGGAGGAGGGAGACAGGAUCCUCCAUGCCAGUGGAGCUGCAUACAGCUCUGGCUGCUCACAGCUUUCAUUACCUGAGGAAAAAAUACGAUGUUUUCAUUCUUUUGUGUGUUUUUCUGUUAUUUUGUUUUAUUUAAGCCACUAAUUUCCACGUCUUAACUAUUCAGGGCUGAUAGAAUUCCUAAUUGACAGAGGACCCACGUCUGCCUGCUGUGUUAGUCCGCUCAUGUGGCUAUGAAGGAUGCCUGAGGCUGGGUGAUUGAUAAAGAAAAGAGGUUUAAUUGGCUCAUGAUUCCGCGGGCUGUACAAGCAGCACAGCACCAGCUUCUGCCCAGCUCCUGGUGAGGCCUCAAGAAGCUUCUCCUCAUGGCAGAAGGCAGAGGGGAGCAGGCCUCACAUGGUGUGAGAGGGAGCAGAGAGAGAGGAGGAGUGUCAGGCUUUCUAACAACCAGCUCUCCCACAAACUAAUCACCAGGAGGAUGGCACCAAGCCAUCCAUGAGGGAUCCACCCCCAUGACCCAACGCCUCCCACCAGGCCCAACCUCCCACACUGGGGACCACAUUUCAACAUGAGAUUUGGAGGGAACAAAGCAUCCCAACCAUGGCAGGUGACUUUUUGUGAGAUGCCUUUUUCUCAAAUGAAAAUCUUUGCUUUCAGGAUCUCCAUAAGAGAUCCUUCUCCUAGGAGAAGGCCACGUCUUCUUUAUGCCAAGGGUGAGCCCAGUGAGGAUGAAAACCCCACUUGAACUGUGGUUCAUGGGCCAGGGCCACGAGCUAGCAAGGGACACCCAGCCGGAGAAGCCUGGAGGCCUGCAGGACCCGCAGAGGGGCUCAUGCUGGGGAAGUGAUGUGCACGGGAUCCUCCAGCUCUGAGAGACAGAAAGCAUCCAGAGGCACUCCUGCAUGUUCACUGCAGUCCCAAAUCAGCUCCCUUGCCUCUCUAAUCCCAAACCUGGCCAAGGGACUAUGGGGGGUUCUUUGACUAAUCCACUGUAUCAUUAGCUCCUUCCUUUCUGCGCUGGUUAAUUUUAUGUGUCUGCUUGACUGCUGUGGGGUGCCAAGACAUUUGGUUUUAUUAAACAUUAUUCUGGGUGUGUCUAUGAAUGCAUUAGUCUGUUUUCACACCACUGAUAAAGACAUACCCCACGCUGAGUAAUUUCUAAAGAAAAAGAGGUUUAAUGGACUCACAGUUCCACGUGGCUGGAGAGGCCUCACAAUCAUGGCAGAAGGCAAAAGGCAUGUCUUACAUGGUGGCAGAGAAGAAAGAAUGAGAGCCAAGCGAAAGUGAAAACCCCUUAUCAAAC
rnacentral:lncRNA from 10 species